UCCCAGGAGGCUCAGAUGGCAAAGUGUCUGCCUGCAAUGCAGGAGACCCAGGUUUGAUCCCUGGGUUGGAAA
rnacentral:tRNA from 1 species